rnacentral:rRNA from 1 species
AGCGAACGCUGGCGGCAGGCCUAACACAUGCAAGUCGAACGAACCUUUCGGGGUUAGUGGCGGACGGGUGAGUAACACGUGGGAACGUGCCUUUAGGUUCGGAAUAACUCAGGGAAACUUGUGCUAAUACCGAAUGUGCCCUUCGGGGGAAAGAUUUAUCGCCUUUAGAGCGGCCCGCGUCUGUUGAGCUAGUUGGUUGAGGUAAUGGCCCACCAGGGCGACAAUCAGUAGCUGGUCUGAGAGGAUGAUCCGCCACAUGGGGACGGAGACAGGGCCCAAACGCCGACGGGGGGCGGCGGGGGGGAAUCCUGCUGCAGCGACGAAGCCUGGCGGAUCCCGGCCCUGGGGAAGUAAGCUGCUUUUGGCCGCGAAAAAUCCUCCCCGGGGGAAGGGUGGUGACGUUCCCGGGAGAAGAAGCCCCGGCUAACUACGUG